GACGAACGCUGGCGGCGUGCUUAACACAUGCAAGUCGAACGGAAAGGCCCUGCUUUUGUGGGGUGCUCGAGUGGCGAACGGGUGAGUAACACGUGAGUAACCUGCCCUUGACUUUGGGAUAACUUCAGGAAACUGGGGCUAAUACCGGAUAGGAGCUCCUGCUGCAUGGUGGGGGUUGAAAGUUUCGGCGGUUGGGGAUGGACUCGCGGCUUAUCAGCUUGUUGGUGGGGUGGUGGCUUCCCAAGGCUUUGACGGGUAGCCGGCCGGAGGGGGUGACCGGCCACAUGGGGACUGAGAUAGGGCCCAGACCCCGCGGGGGGGAAGGGGGGGGAAAUUUUGCAAAAGGGGGGGAGGCGGGAUGCCGAACCCCCGGGGGGGGGAGGGGGGCUUUGGGUUUGAAACCCCCUUCCGCUGGGGAGGAGGGGGGGGGGAGGGAAAGGGGAAAAGAAGCCCGGGCAAACUCCGUC
rnacentral:rRNA from 1 species